GACGAACGCUGGCGACGUGCUUAACACAUGCGAGUCGAACGGAAAGGCCCUGCUUUUGUGGGGUGCUCGAGUGGCGAACGGGUGAGUAACACGUGAGUAACCUGCCCUUGACUUUGGGAUAACUUCAGGAAACUGGGGCUAAUACCGGAUAGGAGCUCCUGCUGCAUGGUGGGGGUUGGAAAGUUUCGGCGGUUGGGGAUGGACUCGCGGCUUAUCAGCUUGUUGGUGGGGUAGUGGCUUACCAAGGCUUUGACGGGUAGCCGGCCUGAGAGGGUGACCGGCCACAUUGGGACUGAGAUACGGCCCAGACUCCUACGGGAGGCAGCAGUGGGGAAUAUUGCACAAUGGGCGGAAGCCUGAUGCAGCAACGCCGCGUGCGGGAUGACGGCCUUCGGGUUGUAAACCGCUUUCGCCUGUGACGAAGCGUGAGUGACGGUAAUGGGUAAAGAAGCACCGGCUAACUACGUG
rnacentral:rRNA from 1 species